CACAACCCGCAUCUCCCUCUGGCUGUCUUCCGUAGAGGGGGGAGAGGGGAGGGUAACCAGCAUCAUGCUCAUCCUGACCAAAAAGUGGAGAGAGAGGAGGAUAGCCAGCAUCUCGUUUCUCCUGACCGAAGAGAGGGGAGAGGGGUGGAUAGCCGGCAUCGCUCUUCUCCUGACCGAAGAGUGGAGAGAGGGGAGGAUAGCCAGCAUCGCGCUCAUCCUGACCAAAGAGUGGAGAGAGAGGAGGAUAGCCAGCAUCUCGUUCCUCCUGGCCAAAGAGAGGAGAAAGGGGUGGAUAACCGGCAUCGCUCUUUUCCUGACCGAAGAGAGGGGAGAGGGGAGGAUAGCCGGCAUCGCCAUUAUCCUGACCGAAGAGUGGGGAGAGGGGAGGAUAGCCAGCAUCGCUUUUUUUCUGACCGAAGAGUGAAGAGAGGGGAAGAUAUCCGGUAUUGUCCUUCUCCUGACCGAAGAGUGGAGAGAGGGGAGGAUAGCC
rnacentral:lncRNA from 1 species